GGGCGCAAGCAAGCACCUCGUUUACACCGAGGGGGUCAGGGGUUCGAGUCCCUUUUCGCCCACCU
rnacentral:tRNA from 1 species